rnacentral:rRNA from 1 species
GACGAACGCUGGCGGCGUGCUUAACACAUGCAAGUCGAACGGAAAGGCCCUGCUUUUGUGGGGUGCUCGAGUGGCGAACGGGUGAGUAACACGUGAGUAACCUGCCCUUGACUUUGGGAUAACUUCAGGAAACUGGGGCUAAUACCGGAUAGGAGCUCCUGCUGCAUGGUGGGGGUUGGAAAGUUUCGGCGGUUGGGGUUGGACUCGCGGCUUAUCAGCUUGUUGGUGGGGUAGUGGCUUACAAAGUUUUUGAGGGGUAGCCGGCCUGGGGGGGUGACCGGCCACUUGGGGACUGAGAUACGCCCCAGACUCCAAGGGGAGGCAGGAGGGGGGAAUUUUGCACAAUGGGCGGAAGCCUGAGGCAGCACCGCGGGGUGGGGGAGGAGGGCCUUGGGGUUGUAAACCGUUUUCGCCUGUGACGAAGCGGGAGGGAGGGUAUGGUGUAAAGAAGCCCGGGCUAACUACGUG